GCUUGUCUCAAAGAUUAAGCCAUGCAUGUCUAAGUAUAAAUGGUAUACAGUGAAACUGCGAAUGGCUCAUUAAAACAGUUAUAGUUUAUUUGGUAAUCGAAUUUACAUGGAUAACCGUGGUAAUUCUAGAGCUAAUACAUGCUGUAAAGCCCGACUUUUCGGAAGGGCCGUAUUUAUUAGAUAACAGACCAAUAUUCCUCGUGUCUAUUGUGGUGAAUCAUAGUAACUAAUCGGAUCGCAUGGGCUAGUCCCGCGACAAACCAUUCAAGUUUCUGCCCCAUCAGCUUUCGAUGGUAGUGUAUUGGACUACCAUGGCAGUAACGGGUAACGAAGAAUUAGGGUUCGAUUUCGGAGAGGGAGCAUGAGAAACGGCUACCACAUCUAAGGAAGGCAGCAGG
rnacentral:rRNA from 1 species